AUAGUUUUUAGCUUCAUCCCCAUUGAUCCCACAGCUCUUAAAUCCAUGUAUUCAUCACCAUUAAUGGGUGCGAAAUGAAAAUUACAAUUUCUUUCGCCCAUUAAAACCCCAAAUUUCCCCUUUUUCUCCCAUGAUUCCAUAAAUCAAUAAAUCAAUUUUCUGCGAAUUUGGAAGGCGGUAAUAUUCUUGGGGAAUUUGUUGUAUCGAAAACUAGAAUUCAGAAAUCAUCCUAUCAGGUAUAUCCAGUGCCUCAAAGGAGCAAGAGCAGGUUUAUCUUAGAACUACUAAAGCUUUUAUUCACUUGGUGACAAUAGACCAAGGAUAUCCAAACAUUAUACUGGCAAUCCUUCUUCUUGGAGCAAUUUAAGAGAGGGAAUUAAGAAAUUCAGUAGGAUACAGGACAUCUUGAUCUUGAACGGAUCCCGUAAUUGGGCUAAGGCUGUCUGAACUCAAGAAAUUAUGUGUUUCUCCUGGAAUUGUCGAGACAAUGAAGUCGUUUAUUUCAUCUACGCUGUCGUUAGUUGGUGCGAGCGAUACUCCGGAAGUUAGUCACAUAUUCUCAGUAAGGUUGAAGAUUCUGAAAUGACUCCAAAGGUCAGACCUAUUAAUCGUUGCGUCAACAAUAAUUUCCCUAGUUCCUUUGGGAAUGAUCGGUAAUAUCUGCCUAAAAUCUCCACCAAACACUACAAUUUUCCUCCGAAUAUGUCUGUCGGCUUACUCAUCAGAUCCCUCAAUGUCCUAUCCAGUGCUUCGAAUGCAUGUUUAUGCAUCAUUUGUGCUUCAUUCCAUAUUAUUAAGUCUGCCCUACACAUCAAUGCUGCCAAAUGUUUUCCCUUCGUUCUUCGCGGAUGAGUCUGUUUUCUUUCUGGGCAUGAAGAGUCAUUUUCGGAUAACAGUCUCCAGUGUCGGUUCCACGGUUCUUCCGGAUUUGUAAUUUCGCAAAAGAGUAGCAAUGUUAUGAACAUUUCACGUAAUAACUUACUGGAUGCCCAAGUUCCCGCCUCUUCCAUUGCUUCGUGCCAUUCUUUGUCGUCAUCCAGCAAACCAAAAUCUAAACAUGCAUCUUUGAAUGUUGGAUGAACAAAUCCAUUCACAGUCUUAAUUUCGUCAAAGCUACGUGGAUCUUUUACUAUGUUGAGCAACAAACGCAGGUAGAAUCUCUCACCCUAUGUUGGAUGUGCAUGAUAUAGCCUUGCAAUUCUUCUCUUCGACUUUCUUCUAGACCACUUCUUUUUAGUCUGGUCCCAGAUCCAUUUUGUUGGAAAUUCUGCAUAAGUUAACUCCCUUGCAUCUUUAUAUUUUCUAUUUGCCUUCAUCCACUAUACGAACUUUGUUUCUUCCGGAUCUGUUCGAUUCAACACUGCGGUCAAGUUUUCGUUGUCCCGAAAUAUGAUUUGUUGUUCACCCGGUAAAUGAAAAGACAACCUCUCCACACUCGGAUCUCUGAAUUGGAUCUCGAAGUUAUAUAUUCGCCAGGUUGCUUCUGAGGCCGAUACGUAGCGACAAUAAUAUCUUUGGAUAGUACUCUCCAUUGUCUGCUCCACAUUUCCGUUGGAUCUUUUAUUUCACAGAACAGUAACAGUGCGAUGAACAUUUUACGUAGGGAUCUGCUGCACCCCCAAGUCUUGCUUCUUCAGUCACUUCUUGCCAUUUUCCAUUUUUCAGGGAUUUGGGAAUGCAAACUGAGGUUUCUGUAGUCGAGUUGGUUAGUCUGCGUAUUUAUUUUUGCCGAAACCUGUGAAAUUAUUAGAGAUGGUGACUGUAUCUCAAAUUAGUAUCCAACGGUUGCGACCUUUUGUGAAAUUUCGUUGAUCCUGAAAGACCCAAUGUGAAGAGGCACAUUUUUUAUUGACC